AGAGUUUGAUCMUGGCUCAGGACAAACGCUGGCGGAAUGUAUUAGGCAUGCARGUCGUACGAACCUUCGGGUUAGUGGCGAACGGGUGAGUAACACGUGGGUAACCUGCCUCGUAGUGGGGAAUAACUCGCCGAAAGGCGAGCUAAUACCGCAUAACACCCCYGGUGAGASUCCRGGUGGUAAAAGCUCCGGCGCUACGAGAGGGGCCCGCGGYCGAUUAGCUAGUUGGUGGGGUAAUAGCCUACCAAGGCGACGAUCGRUAGCUGGUCUGAGAGGAUGGUCAGCCACACGGGGACUGAGAUACGGCCCCGACUCCUACGGGAGGCAGC
rnacentral:rRNA from 1 species